GAUAACUCGGUGAAAAUCGAGCUAAUACCGGAUAGUCCCGAAAGGGUAAAGAUUUAUCGGUGUGAGAGGGGCCUGCGGCCUAUCAGUUAGUUGGUAAGGUAAAAGCUUACCAAGACUAUGACGGGUAACUGGUCUGAGAGGAUGACCAGUCAGAAUGGAACUGAGACACGGUCCAUACUCCUACGGGAGGCAGCAGUAAGGAAUCUUCCACAAUGGGCGAAAGCCUGAUGGAGCGACACCGCGUGAAGGAUGACACCAUUAUUUGGCGUAAACUUCUGUCCUGAGGGAAGAAAUUUUUGACGGUACCUCAGAAGAAAGCACCGGCUAAUUCCGUGCCAGCAGCCGCGGUAAUACGGAAGGUGCAAGCGUUACUCGGAAUCACUGGGCGUAAAGGGUCCGCAGCCUUUUUAUUAAGUCUGAUGUAAAAUCUUUGAGCUCAACUCAAAGCGCGUAUUGGAAACUAAUAAAAUAGAGUUAUACAGAGGUAACUGGAAUGUCAUGUGGAGGGGUAAAAUCCGUAGAUCCAUGAUGGAACGCCAAAAGCGAAUGCAGGUUACUGGGUAUAUACUGACGGUCAGGGACGAAAGCGUGGGUAGCGAAGGGGAUUAGAUACCCCCGUAGUCCACGCCCUAGACGAUGCAUGCUCGAUGUUGGAUUUAUUAUCUGAAUUCAGUGUCUUAAGCUAACGCGGUAAGCAUGCCGCCUGUGGAGUACGGCCGCAAGGCUAAAACAUAAAGGAAUAGACGGGGGCCCACACAAGCGGUGGAACAUGGGGUUUAAUUCGAUAAUACGCGGAACACCUCACCCAGGUUUGACAUCCCGAGAAUCAUUUAGAAAUAAUUGAGUGCCUUACGGAACUCGGUGACAGGUGAUGCACGGUCGUCGUCAGCUCGUGCUUUGAAGUGUACUGUUAAGUCAGCCAACGAGCGCAACCCAUAUCGUAUGUUGCUAUUUCAUACGAGACUGCCGCCUCCAAGGCGGAGGAAGGUAUGGAUGACGUCAGAUCUGCGUGUCCCUUAUACCUGGGGCGACACCCAUGUUACAAUGGUCGAUACAAAGGGCAGCAAACUCGCGAGAGUAAGCAAAUCCCAUAAAAUCGAUCUCAGUCCGGAUAAGAGUCUGCAACUCGACUCUUUGAAGUUGGAAUCGCUAGUAACCGUAAAUCAGACACGUUACGGUGAAUAUGUUCCUGGGCCUUGUACUCACCGCCCGUCAAGUCAUGAAAGGCAGAGACGCCCGAAGCACCCUUACUCCUCGGAGGGGGUACCAC
rnacentral:rRNA from 1 species